rnacentral:misc_RNA from 1 species
CUGAGAGGGGGUCCUCUGGGCCCAACCUUCAACCCUAUGUGUUGUUACCUUGUUUCUUUGGUCGGCCUCAGCCGGCCAGAAGCACCCCUAAACUCAUUAUAAAAUAUGUCAUUCUGAAUCAUAAACAAAUAAAGCA